rnacentral:rRNA from 1 species
AACGAACGCUGGCGGCGCGCCUAAUACAUGCAAGUCGAGCGAGAAGACGUAGCAAUACGUUUGUAAAGCGGCGAACGGGUGAGGAAUACAUGGGUAACCUACCCUCGAGUGGGGAAUAACUAGCCGAAAGGUUAGCUAAUACCGCGUACGCUCCUUGGACUUCGGUUCAGGGAGGAAAGCGAUACCGUGGGUAUCGCGCUCUUGGAUGGGCUCAUGUCCUAUCAGCUUGUUGGUGAGGAACGGCUCACCAAGGCUUCGAUCAGUAGCCGUCCUGAGAGGGAGCACGGCCACACUGGAACUGAGACACGGUCCAGACUCCUACGGGAGGCAGCAGUGGGGAAUUUUUGGCAAUGGGCGAAAGCCUGACCAAGCAACGCCGCGUGGGUGAUGAAGUAUCUUGGUACGUAAAACCCUUUCGGCAGGGACGAACCCAAUGACGGUACCUGCGGAAGAAGCCCCGGCUAACUCCGU